rnacentral:rRNA from 1 species
UCGAGAAUCUUCGGCAAUGGGCGAAAGCCUGACCGAGCGACGCCGCGUGCGGGAUGAAGGCCCUCGGGUUGUAAACCGCUGUCGUUGGGGAGGAAAUGCGUGGGGGCUAUCCCUCAUGUUUGACCUAUCCAAGGAGGAAGUACGGGCUAAGUUCGUGCCAGCAGCCGCGGUAAGACGAACCGUACGAACGUUAUUCGGAAUUACUGGGCUUAAAGGGUGCGUAGGCUGCGCGGAAAGUUGGGUGUGAAAGCCCUCAGCUCAACUGAGGAAUUGCAUCCAAAACUGCCGUGCUAGAGGGAGACAGAGGUGAGCGGAACUCAAGGUGGAGCGGUGAAAUGCGUUGAUAUCUUGAGGAACACCGGUGGCGAAAGCGGCUCACUGGGUCUCUUCUGACGCUGAGGCACGAAAGCUAAGGUAGCAAACGGG